AAAAGCCCACAGAUUUGGUUGCAAGAUUGUCAUUCCACUGAUCGCCAGUGUGGAUUGGGCUGAUCUGGUGGUCUGGCUGCGUGUCCCUUUCCUCUCUCACCACUCCAUGUGUAUCUUUCCCAAAGCUGCACACUGGCUGAAAGAGGAGGGACUACUUACCACAAGGAGGAUCACUUUGUUGGUCCUGAGAAGAAAUUGAGAAGCUGUGCUUCCCUGCUAGAACUUCCCAAAGCUUUCAAGAGGAAUUUCAGCUAUUCAAGAAGAAUUUUUCUAUGGGAGUCUAAUCCAAUUAAGUUUCCAGAUACCAUAGCUU
rnacentral:snRNA from 1 species